UACGGAGGGUGCAAGCGUUAUCCGGAUUUACUGGGUUUAAAGGGUGUGUAGGCGGACUUUUAAGUCAGCGGUGAAAUCUCCGGGCUCAACCCGGAAACUGCCAUUGAUACUAUUUGUCUUGAAUGUUGUUGAGGUGGGCGGAACGGGUCAUGUAGCGGUGAAAUGCAUAGAUAUGACCCGGAACACCGAUUACGAAGGCAGCCCACUAAGCAACGAUUGACGCUGAGGCACGAAAGCGUGGGGAUCAAACAGGG
rnacentral:rRNA from 1 species